rnacentral:lncRNA from 1 species
CUCUGCCUAAAGCCAAGAACAAAGAAAUCAACAGAAACAUUGGCUUUAUGUAGUCAAAGUCUUACCCUUGAAACAUCUGCAGGAUGAAGAGGUUUAAAAAACAGUGUUCUCUACAGUCAAGUGUAUCUGAAGGACAAAAUAAGAACAGGACAUUGACAAGGUUGGGAAGAACCGAAGUCAUCCUUUUGUCCCUCUUGAAAGGUGAAGGUCCUGAGGUCAGAGAGGUGGCUGGAUUUGUUGAAAUCUCAGAGCAGUUUAGAAGACUAUUUUCAAGAACUGUGUUGGGAGGCUGCCACGUGUCUGACUUAGAGCCAAGAUGGGCACAAGAAUGGAGAAUAAGACCCAGUUUGUGCCAGGAGAAUUUUAUUGAAUUCUUUCUGGAAAAAAUAAACAUGAGACAACCAGCCAUUUGGAAACAAGAAACUAAGGAACUGUUGAACAAGAUGAAGACAAGAGUUUUACCUAAGAGUAAGAAGCCUUAGAACCCCUCCUGAAACCAGAGAAAGGAUAGAAGUGCUUGUGCCUGGAGACCUGAGUGACCUUCUCCAGCCUGAGCAGGGAGUGGAUAUGAGGCUGGCUGACACACCCGUUUGACAUUACACAUCCUCUGCUUGUGAAGAUGACUCACUUCAAAUCAUCGCAGGACUCCUUGUUCACAUAUGCUUAACAUAGCCGAAUUCAUCUUCAGUUUGCCAACUGUUCUAUAGAAUUAUUUUGCACCCUGGAGAAUUGAUCUGUUUACCUCAAGGCAAGUCAAUGUGAUAUAUAUUUUCUUAUAUGAAAAAUACAAGGAAAGUUUCUG